rnacentral:rRNA from 1 species
AUUGAACGCUGGCGGCAUGCUUUACACAUGCAAGUCGAACGGUAACAGGGUGCUUGCACCGCUGACGAGUGGCGAACGGGUGAGUAAUGCGUCGGAACGUGCCGAGUAGUGGGGGAUAACGCAGCUAAAGUUGUGCUAAUACCGCAUACGUACUGAGGUGGAAAGUGGGGGACCUUCGGGCCUCACGCUAUUCGAGCGGCCGACGUCUGAUUAGCGAGUAGGUGAGGUAAAGGCUCACCUAGGCGACGAUCAGUAGCGGGUCUGAGAGGAUGAUCCGCCACACUGGGACUGAGACACGGCCCAGACUCCUACGGGAGGCAGCAGUGGGGAAUUUUGGACAAUGGGCGAAAGCCUGAUCCAGCCAUGCCGCGUGUCUGAAGAAGGCCUUCGGGUUGUAAAGGACUUUUGUCAGGGAGGAAAUCCCUAGUGCUAAUAACACUGGGGGAUUACAGUACCUGAAGAAUAAGCACCGGCUAACUACGUGCCAGCCGCCGCCGUAA